rnacentral:rRNA from 1 species
GGGUGAGUAACACGUGGAUAACCUACCUAUAAGACUGGGAUAACUUCGGGAAACCGGAGCUAAUACCGGAUAAUAUAUUGAACUGCAUGGUUCAAUAGUGAAAGACGGUUUUGCUGUCACUUAUAGAUGGAUCCGCGCCGCAUUAGCUAGUUGGUAAGGUAACGGCUUACCAAGGCAACGAUGCGUAGCCGACCUGAGAGGGUGAUCGGCCACACUGGAACUGAGACACGGUCCAG